CAUCACCCCCUGGGAGGUGGCCAGGGCCCACGCGUUGGCCUUGGCAUCUCCUUUCACCCACUUCCCAGAGCCAGCCUGGCAGGAGGAGCUGGCAGGUGUGCGAUCAGUCGGACCCGGCAGUUCCAGGCCCAGAAGAGCAGCAGAACCAGACCAGUGACCCUGUGGCUGCCUCAGGGCCGGCGGCAUUGACUCAGGACUCCCCCUGCCCUGGCACCGACCUAUCAGUGGAGACCAUGACCCUGAAAGAGCACAGCUGGAAAGCUGAUGGAUAUUCUAUUAAGACCCUCUCCUGAGCCCUCCCCUGAGAUUUCCACCUGCAAGAGAGGGAGAAAUUGUGGGAAGCCACCUAUUGUCUUCUCUAGCAGAGAGGUGUGGACAAGGAGCCUGAAAUGCUGGUGACCCUUGAGCCAGGGCCUCCGGCUCCCACAGGCAAUCCCCACAGCCUUCCUCUGUGACUCCAUCCCCUAAGAGGGAGUCUCAGCACACAGCCUAGCCCCCAGUUUUGUUAGUGUGACCAGAGUGGAAGGGGUCGUCAUCCUAUAGAAAGGGGAACUGGGCUACCUCCUCGAAGAGAGGGGGAGGCUCUUGCUCAAAAUCAGAAAUCAAUAAUCAAUCACUCGUGGUUAACUGCCUCCUGCCACUGCCAUACACCAGUGAUAACAACCGGCACCUCGUGCUCUUGCUGGUCUGCGGAGCCCCCUGCCGGCUUUGGUCUUUGUGUGCGGAUGGCUGUGCUCUCUUCCCGGAGCACCCUGUGCCCAGGAUGCUCGUCCACCUGGUUGGCUCCUGGCCGGCCUGCAGGCGGCAGCUUUCCCAGACCUCCCAGUGGAGCACUCAUCCUGCUGGGUGCUGCGUGUCUCCCCACCAAGCUCCCCAAGGCUUAGGCGCUUCCUCGCCCCGUGGACCUGUUUCCCCAGCACUUAGCACGGUGCCUGGCACAGGCUGAUAACAACUGUCACAGUGAGGGUCGGCAUGUAUGGAGCUGUCCGGGUACUGGCUCAUUGGCUGAAUGAAGGAAUGGAGAUCGCCCACCCAAGUCGCUCCCCCAUUCCUGGGUCCUCACACCCCAACCCCAGAGCCUGGAGUCCUUUAAAGUAUUGAAUUACUUGAAAGCUGCGGGAUGGGCUCCUGGUUCCUCUGCCUCUCUCUCCAGCUCUUGGCCUGUGCUGUGAGCCUCUGCGUGCCUGGCAGAGCCAGAGUGCCCUCUGCUGGCACAAUGGCGACAAGGCCUGUUCCUGCUCUCGGGGAUGCUGGGGCGGCUGGGCCCUCCGCACCUUCCCCUUCACGGCCCUCUUCUCCUUCGCUGUUCUUCCUCCAUGUCACCCCUCUGCCCAUUUGCCCAGGCGGGUGGAAGCUUGUCAGUUGACCCAGAGGCCGAGGCUGUGCCACCAGCUGGCUAUUCCCCCCAAGGCCCCCCAAACUCAGAUCUGGUGGGCAAUCUGUCCCAAGACUGGUCAUAGAUGCUGGUUGUGAUGUUGGGGGACCCACUACCACCACCCCCACUCCACUCCAGCCCCCACCUUCUGGGGGGCGUGGACAGAGGUGUCCUGAUCUGUCCCAGUCAGGGGCAGCAGGUUACCUCAUGCUGGGGAGCAGAUUAUGGGAAACCAUAGGGUGACCUCCUGCCCCCUGAUUUGGGGUUGCCCUGUGCUGAGCCCUGCCCCAUCUCAGGGGUGUGGGAAGGGGCAAUGAUCAUAAAUCCAGGCAAGUGGACACUCCUGGAACUACAGCCUGGGCACAGCCCUCACUCCAAGGGCCCCUUGACCCGUCCUAGCCUAGGAAGAGGCUGUUGGGGUGCUGCUCUCAUGGCUUUGGGGCUCCCCUUUUCCUUCUCCUGCCUUCUCCUCAGCUCUCUUACCUGGGCUCUCUCCCUGGCCCACUCCCUCCCUCUGGAGCUCCAGGCCCAUCUCCUUGAGAUUUUCCCCGUCUCACUGUCCCCACACCCCCCUCACCCUCACCCUCACCCUCUUCGGACCGGGCCCCACCUCCACUCUUUGACUCAGUCAAGGGCCUCAUCUUCCUCUCCAGCUUAUCGCCCACUCUUCCCCUGCUCCUGUCUUAUCUCUUCCUGAUGCUGGGCCACAUCGGGCCCACGUGGCCUGGACGCUGAGCCCGAUAGGAUCUCCCUGCUCAGCCUCCUGCCAGGACCGCCAGACUCAUCCUCCAAAAGCUUCUGCUUUUCGGGGGCUGCUUGUGCCUGGGCGGGGCUCUGGUCUGCACACCCACUUCCCACUUCCCUGUUCCUUCAGCCCAUGUGCCCGACAGCCCACGCAUAGGACUCAUCUCCCCACCCGCCACCACCCCACGUGCGUUCACGCCCUCACCUCCCGCCUCGUGCCUUCGCCUCACCUCCAGCGCCUCCCUCUCACUCCGGCUGACCCUGGCUCCCAGGUCACACGUGGUGCUCCCCACUCCAGCCGCCCUCGUGCCCUCCCGCCGUCUUAAAACACACUGGGUCAGCCACCCCCCUGAGGGCCUCCAGAAUCAGGUCCCAUUCCUCCCGGGCUCUCAUCACCCACCGUCUGCUCUGCCCCGAUCCAUGUCUGGUGUGGGAUGGGUCCUUUGUCAUCUCUUCCCUGAACAGGCUUUAUCUCAGUGUGUGGCUGGAAGUGUUCCCUCACCCAGCAAGCUACUAUCUUGCUUCUCACCGCAUCCUCCAUGGGGAGCCCUGUGGACCAUCGGAGCAAGCUGAGCAGAAAUCUAACCAUCCCGUCCUCUCCAAUGUGCGUGAAAUACAAAAGCAGCAAGAACACGCGUCCUCCAGGCCGGCAGGAUCCGGUCAGGGGGGAAGGUUCAGCGUCCAGGAGCACGUGGCGGGGAGCCACAGCCUCUACACGGGUGCCCUGGGGCUUCCGGCGCUUUGUGGCUUGUUUUGGCAAAGGGGAGCGGCCCGAGGGAUGUUACUCACGUUUCGCUUCAAGUGUGGGUGUGCGUGCCCACACUGACCGCAGGGACAUUUGCGGCACGGCUGCUCUGAGCUUUGCAGGACAUUUGGGGUCCCUGGUCCGUCCCCCAGCCCAGCUACUAAAUCCCACCAGUGCCCCCCAGACCUGUGACACCCUCAGCGAGGAGGCGAGUGAGGCAACUGUCUGGGGCUCAACAUUUUUUU